rnacentral:tRNA from 1 species
AAAGAAAUAAAUAUAUGAAGCUUCUAACUUCUCAAAGAGCAUUAAAUUGUUCAUAUUUCUU